rnacentral:rRNA from 1 species
AAUAGAUACCUGGUAGUCCACGCCCUAAACUAUGUCAACUAGUUGUCGGGGAAGAAAUUCCUUGGUAACGCAGCUAACGCGUGAAGUUGACCGCCUGGGGAGUACGGCCGCAAGGUUAAAACUCAAAGGAAUUGACGGGGACCCGCACAAGCGGUGGAUUAUGUGGAUUAAUUCGAUGCAACGCGAAAAACCUUACCUACCCUUGACAUGUACGGAAUUCCGCAGAGAUGUGGAAGUGCCCGAAAGGGAACCGUAACACAGGUGCUGCAUGGCUGUCGUCAGCUCGUGUCGUGAGAUGUUGGGUUAAGUCCCGCAACGAGCGCAACCCUUGCCAUUAGUUGCUACAUUCAGUUGGGCACUCUAAUGGGACCGCCGGUGACAAACCGGAGGAAGGUGGGGAUGACGUCAAGUCCUCAUGGCCCUUAUGGGUAGGGCUUCACACGUAAUACAAUGGUCGGUACAGAGGGCUGCCAACCCGCAAGGGGGAGCUAAUCCCAGAAAGCCGAUCGUAGUCCGGAUUGUAGUCUGCAACUCGACUGCAUGAAGCCGG